UACGAAAGGUGCAAGCGUUACUCGGAAUCACUGGGCGUAAAGCGCACGUAGGCGGACUUACAGGUCAAUUGUGAAAUACCUGAGCUCAACUCAGGAACUGCAGUUGAAACCGUUUGUCUUGAAUACCUGAGAGGGUGGGGGAAUACCUGGUGGAGAAGUGAAAUUCGUAGAGAUCAGGUGGAACACCGGAGGCGAAGGCGCCUGCCUGGCAGUGUAUUGACGCUGAGGUGCGAAAGCGUGGGGAGCAAACAGG
rnacentral:rRNA from 1 species